UACAGAGGGUGCAAGCGUUGUUCGGAAUUAUUGGGCGUAAAGCGCACGUAGGCGGACAUUUAAGUCAGGGGUGAAAUCCCGGGGCUCAACCCCGGAACGGCCUUUGAUACUGGGUGUCUUGAGUUCGGAAGAGGUGAGUGGAAUUGCGAGUGUAGAGGUGAAAUUCGUAGAUAUUCGCAGGAACACCAGUGGCGAAGGCGGCUUACUGGUCCUUACUGACGCUGAGGUGCGAAAGCGUGGGGAGCAAACAGGAUUAGAAACCCC
rnacentral:rRNA from 1 species